UACGUAGGGUGCGAGCGUUGUCCGGAAUUAUUGGGCGUAAAGGGCUCGUAGGCGGUUUGUCGCGUCGGGAGUGAAAUCCACUGGCUUAACUGGUGGCUUGCUUUCGAUACGGGCAGACUGGAGGUAUGCAGGGGAGAACGGAAUUCCUGGUGUAGCGGUGGAAUGCGCAGAUAUCAGGAGGAACACCGAUGGCGAAGGCAGGUCUCUGGGCCGCUACUGACGCUGAGAAGCGAAAGCAUGGGGAGCGAACAGG
rnacentral:rRNA from 1 species